GGUUAGCGGCGGACGGGUGAGUAACACGUAGGCAACCUGCCCUCAAGACUGGGAUAACCUCCGGAAACGGAUGCUAAUACCGGAUAUGCGGUUUCUCCUCCUGGAGANNCCGGGAAAGACGGAGCAAUCUGUCACUUGGGGAUGGGCCUGCGGCGCAUUAGCUAGUUGGUGAGGUAACGGCUCACCAAGGCGACGAUGCGUAGCCGACCUGAGAGGGUGAUCGGCCACACUGGGACUGAGACACGGCCCAGACUCCUACGGGAGGCAGCAGUAGGGAAUCUUCCGCAAUGGACGCAAGUCUGACGGAGCAACGCCGCGUGAGUGAGGAAGGCCUUCGGGUCGUAAAGCUCUGUUGCCAGGGAAGAACGGGUGGAAGAGUAACUGCUUCCGCCAUGACGGUACCUGAGAAGAAAGCCCCGGCUAACUACG
rnacentral:rRNA from 1 species